rnacentral:rRNA from 1 species
GCAAGUCGAGGGGUAACAGAGAGAAGCUUGCUUCUUUGCUGACGACCGGCGCACGGGUGAGUAACGCGUAUGUAAUCUGCCUUGUACAGAGGGAUAGCCCAGAGAAAUUUGGAUUAAUACCUCAUAGUAUUACCGAGUCGCAUGAUUUGGUAAUUAAAGCUCCGGCGGUACAAGAUGAACAUGCGUGACAUUAGCUAGUUGGUAAGGUAACGGCUUACCAAGGCUACGAUGUCUAGGGGUUCUGAGAGGAUGAUC